rnacentral:rRNA from 1 species
AUUGAACGCUGGCGGCAUGCCUUACACAUGCAAGUCGAACGGCAGCAUGGGUGCUUGCACCUGAUGGCGAGUGGCGAACGGGUGAGUAAUGCAUCGGAACGUACCCGGAAGUGGGGGAUAACGUAGCGAAAGUUACGCUAAUACCGCAUAUUCUGUGAGCAGGAAAGCGGGGGAGUCGCAAGACCUCGCGCUUCCGGAGCGGCCGAUGUCGGAUUAGCUAGUUGGCGGGGUAAAGGCCCACCAAGGCAACGAUCCGUAGCGGGUCUGAGAGGAUGAUCCGCCACACUGGGACUGAGACACGGCCCAGACUCCUACGGGAGGCAGCAGUGGGGAAUUUUGGACAAUGGGGGCAACCCUGAUCCAGCAAUGCCGCGUGAGUGAAGAAGGCCUCGGUUGUAAGUCUUUGUUUGGGUAGAAAUCCCUAAGGAUAAUACCCUUGGGGGAGUGACGGUACCGAAAAGAAUAAAGCGACCGGACCUAACUAACGUGCCAGCAGCCGCGGUAAACUGU